rnacentral:piRNA from 1 species
UGGCCCUUGUGGAGUUUGAGUCCAACCC